UAAAUCAAUUGUUUCUUCUGAAGCUAAUAAACAUAUUAUUCAAACAACAAUUAAAGAUGAAAAUGAUAAACAAGAGACUAAAAACCAAAUAUCUGAAAACUCUGUUCGUAAAAGAAGAGGUCAUUUGAUGAAAGCACAGACUGAAUGCUCUGAUUUAAAUCGUCCGAUAUUUACAUGCGAUGAAUGGAAAUCUAUCUCUAAAAGGAGGUCCCGUUCGUUAAGUAAAAG